rnacentral:rRNA from 1 species
AGAGUUUGAUCCUGGCUCAGGACGAACGCUGGCGGCGUGCCUAAUACAUGCAAGUAGAACGCUGAAGAGAGGAGCUUGCUCUUCUUGGAUGAGUUGCGAACGGGUGAGUAACGCGUAGGUAACCUGCCUUGUAGCGGGGGAUAACUAUUGGAAACGAUAGCUAAUACCGCAUAACAAUGGAUGACACAUGUCAUUUAUUUGAAAGGGGCAAUUGCUCCACUACAAGAUGGACCUGCGUUGUAUUAGCUAGUAGGUGAGGUAAUGGCUCACCUAGGCGACGAUACAUAGCCGACCUGAGAGGGUGAUCGGCCACACUGGGACUGAGACACGGCCCAGACUCCUACGGGAGGCAGCAGUAGGGAAUCUUCGGCAAUGGGGGCAACCCUGACCGAGCAACGCCGCGUGAGUGAAGAAGGUUUUCGGAUCGUGAAGCUCUGUUGUAAGUCAAGAACGGGUGUGAGAGUGGAAAGUUCACACUGUGACGGUAGCUUAUCAGAAAGGGACGGCUAACUACGUGCCAGCAGCCGCGGUAAUACGUAGGUCCCGAGCGUUGUCCGGAUUUAUUGGGCGUAAAGCGAGCGCAGGCGGUUUGAUAAGUCUGAAGUUAAAGGCUGUGGCUCAACCAUAGUUCGCUUUGGAAACUGUCAAACUUGAGUGCAGAAGGGGAGAGUGGAAUUCCAUGUGUAGCGGUGAAAUGCGUAGAUAUAUGGAGGAACACCGGUGGCGAAAGCGGCUCUCUGGUCUGUAACUGACGCUGAGGCUCGAAAGCGUGGGGAGCGAACAGGAUUAGAUACCCUGGUAGUCCACGCCGUAAACGAUGAGUGCUAGGUGUUGGAUCCUUUCCGGGAUUCAGUGCCGCAGCUAACGCAUUAAGCACUCCGCCUGGGGAGUACGACCGCAAGGUUGAAACUCAAAGGAAUUGACGGGGGCCCGCACAAGCGGUGGAGCAUGUGGUUUAAUUCGAAGCAACGCGAAGAACCUUACCAGGUCUUGACAUCCCGAUGCUAUUUCUAGAGAUAGAAAGUUACUUCGGUACAUCGGUGACAGGUGGUGCAUGGUUGUCGUCAGCUCGUGUCGUGAGAUGUUGGGUUAAGUCCCGCAACGAGCGCAACCCCUAUUGUUAGUUGCCAUCAUUCAGUUGGGCACUCUAGCGAGACUGCCGGUAAUAAACCGGAGGAAGGUGGGGAUGACGUCAAAUCAUCAUGCCCCUUAUGACCUGGGCUACACACGUGCUACAAUGGUUGGUACAACGAGUUGCGAGUCGGUGACGGCGAGCUAAUCUCUUAAAGCCAAUCUCAGUUCGGAUUGUAGGCUGCAACUCGCCUACAUGAAGUCGGAAUCGCUAGUAAUACGCGGAUCAGCACGCCGCGGUGAAUACGUUCCCGGGCC